GACGAACGCUGGCGGCGUGCUUAACACAUGCAAGUCGAACGAAGUGGCGAACGGGUGAGUAACGCGUAAUCAACCUGCCCUUCAGAGGGGGAUAACAGUUGGAAACGACUGCUAAUACCGCAAACUGAAGGAGGGGCUUGCGUCUGAUUGGCUAGUUGGCGGGGUAACGGCCACCCAAGGCGCAGAUCAGUAGCCGGUCUGAGGGGAUGGACGGCCACAAUGGGACAGAGACACGGCCCAGACUUCUACCGGAGGCAACAAUUGGGAAUCUUCCGCCAUGGAAGGAAGGCUGACGGAGCAACGCCGCGGGAGUGAUGACGGCCUUCGGGUUGUAAAGCUCUGUUAAUCGGGACGCGGUACCGGAAUAGAAAGCCACGGCUAACUACGUGCCAGCAGCCGCGGUAAUAC
rnacentral:rRNA from 1 species